GAUGAACGCUGGCGGCGUGCUUAACACAUGCAAGUCGAACGAAGCACUUUAACCUGAUUCUUCGGAUGAAGGUUUUUGUGACUGAGUGGCGGACGGGUGAGUAACGCGUGGGUAACCUGCCUCAUACAGGGGGAUAACAGUUAGAAAUGACUGCUAAUACCGCAUAAGACCACAGAGCCGCAUGGCUCGGUGGGAAAAACUCCGGUGGUAUGAGAUGGACCCGCGUCUGAUUAGGUAGUUGGUGGGGUAACGGCCUACCAAGCCAACGAUCAGUAGCCGACCUGAGAGGGUGACCGGCCACAUUGGGACUGAGACACGGCCCAAACUCCUACGGGAGGCAGCAGUGGGGAAUAUUGCACAAUGGGGGAAACCCUGAUGCAGCGACGCCACGUGAGCGAAGAAGUAUUUCGGUAUGUAAAGCUCUAUCAGCAGGGAAGAAAAUGACGGUACCUGACUAAGAAGCACCGGCUAAAUACGUG
rnacentral:rRNA from 1 species